ensembl:snoRNA
CCUCCUUUUCUUGGUGGGGAUUGGGCAUAUGGUCCUGGUCCCUGUAAUGUAUAGAGGUAGAGAGAAAGGGCUCUUGUCCCCUUGGCAUCAUGUCUUUGGCACUAGCAGCUUCUAGUCUGCUGGUUCUAUCCUUAAGUACUAGGACAUGA